GAGAUUGUGGGGAAGAUAAUGAAGCAAGUGAAAGCCGAAUCUUUAGCAAAAUGGACUUAGAUGCAGGACAUGCUAGAGCAGGUCAGGCUAGAGAUGCAAGAGCUGCAGUCUUCCAGGGAUACACGGCAGUGCUGUGCAAUUGCUUCUGACAUCAGUCUUGGUUCCUUGAAUUCUGCGGUUAGUGGCCUCUACUUAUGCUUGCAUCAUCAGUGCCUAGAAAUGCUUCUUGGGUUCACAUGCCUGUUCUGUUUUGUUUGA
rnacentral:rRNA from 1 species